rnacentral:lncRNA from 1 species
ACUGACACUUUUCGGACUCAGCCUGCCUGCACCCAGGUGAUUAAAAGCUUUAUUGCUCACACAAAGCCUGUUUGGUGGUCUCUUCACAUGGAUGCGCAUGAAAUUUGGUGCGGUGACUCGGAUCGGGGGACCUCCCUUGGGAGAUCAAUCCCCUGUCCUCCUGUUCUUUGCUCCGUGAGAAAGAGCCACCUACGACCUCAGGUCCUCAGACCAACCAGGCCAAGAAACAUCUCACCAAUUUCAAAUCCGAUCUUCUCGGCUUAGCGGCUGAAGACUGACACUGCUCAAUCACCUUGGAAGCCCCCUAGACCAUCACGGACGCCGAGCUUCAGGGGAGAGGGAAAAUCAUUUGGGGACAGCCAACUUCUUCCUUGAGCGGUGCAGUUAUAAUCAUGCAUUGUGCCCUCUGUGAGUGCUUCUUUCUCCUUUGAAAUUCUUCAGUGGGUUCUUCAGCAUCGCCCACUCUGUUGCUGGAGACCACCCAUUGUGCCCUUGGAUGGCGUGCCCAAUAUCCUUGGCCAGCUGGCUGCAUUCCCCACUCAGCUACUGAUUGUUGAUUGUUGUGCUUCACGAACUUCCCGCUGAGCGUCCUCUCAUCCUGGGGUGGAGAGCAGGCCCAUCACGGGGCUCCCACCUGCCUGCCUGCCAUACUGUCCAUGCCAGUGCCUGAGAAACACCGCCUCUGCUCCACUUUCAGUGGGAACCAGCGUUUUGCACCCCCCUCCAUAGCCUUUUCUCUUCACUCUACCACCUGAAGCAAUUCCCACUGGGCCGCUUCUUCACCUUUAAGUUUUCCAGCAGGAGAAGACAAGGAGAUGGAGAGACUGUCAACCUAGAACCAGUAAUGACCAGUUCCAACUUAAUUACAGAAAGGGAGAAAAGAUCAAUCAUUUAAGUUGCUUCAUCGUCUAAAUAAAAGUGUUUUGGCUGUUGAAACAUGAA